CAUUUCCUUCUUCAACAGUGCCUCUCUUCACAUGAAGAGAGCAAACCCGCGGAAUCAUUGGCUAGAUAGCUCGAUGGCUUCUAUUUUUUCAGGUAUAUUUAUGUAUAUAUAUCUUAGGAUUUUUAGAUCCCAAUAAACCUAUUUGAUUUAAAAUUUGGGAUUUAAUUCUAACAAUUUAAGAUGUAAUAUUGGGAGGAGACACAGUUCGUCGAAAAGACACUACAAAAAUGAGAUGAGAAUUCUUUCAAAAGUUUUUUAAAAAAGUAUACAAGUUUAUUUUCUUAUCUUGUUGCUUUGAGUUUUCCCCUCUUAUUGUAUACUAAAAAUUCUUGUAUCAAUGUGCUUUUUGGUUCACUUAUUCUUUUGUGUUAAUUAUUAUUUCUUUUAAAUUUAUAAGGUGCAUUUCAAUCUAUUCAAUGCAAGAAGAUUAAGGAUUCAACCUUGAUGCCAAGAGUGAAAGUAGUUCAUCCUUGACCGCAGAAGAUCAUCUAGUGGCGACAUCUGAAAUUUCCGGAUCAAAUACUUAGAACUUAGUUUUCUUUUGACGUGGAACCCUUCAGAAUUUUAUAGAUUAUAGAUAACGGUGCAUAAUUUGUAUUAUACUCUUAUUAGUUUGACAAGAAUGUGAGUUUAAGUUGUUUCUAUUAUCUAGCUGCAUAUUAACUAGUUGUUAUGUCUCUUGUACAAGAGUUACAUACUUGUGGAAGUGUUGAUAUUAUGUACUGUAAUAGACAAUU
rnacentral:lncRNA from 1 species